CGAACUGCUCAAUUUAUUGAACAGUUAGUGGCGAAAGGGUUAGUAAUGGAUAGGUAACGUGCCCUGGGCUCCGGAAUAGCGUCGUUCGCCUUCGGGCGAGCUACCGAAAGGGACGGUAAUACCGGGUAAUAUCAUGUGUCGAUAGGCAUAUGAUCAAAGAUUUAUCGGCCCAGGAGCGGCCUAUCUCCUAUCAGCUUGUUGGUGGGGUAAUGGCCUACCAAGGCAGCGACGGGUAGCGGGACUGAGAGGUUGACCCGCAACAUCGGGACUGAGACACUGCCCGGACCUCCACGGAGGGCUGCAGUAACGAAUCUUGUGCAAUGGGCGAAAGCCUGACACAGCGACGCCGCGUGUAGGAGGAAGUCUUUCGGGAUGUAAACUACUGUCAGGGCUAAGAAAGUCCGCUCCGGCGGAUUGAUCUAACCCAAAGGAAGUCACGGCUAACUUCGUGCCAGCAGCCGCGGUAAGACGAAGGUGGCGAGCGUUGUUCGGUGUUACUGGGCUUAAAGCGUGUGUAGGCGGAAAAGUAAGCGUUCUGUGAAAGCCCUCGGCUUAACCGAGGAAUUGCUUGGCGAACUGCUUUUCUUGAGGCAAGCAGGGGUGCAUGGAACUCUUGGUGGAGCGGUGGAAUGCGUAGAUAUCAAGAGGAACGCCGGUGGUGAAAACGGUGCACUGGGCUUGUUCUGACGCUGAGACACGAAAGCGUGGGGAGCGAACGGGAUUAGAUACCCCGGUAGUCCACGCCGUAAACGAUGUCUACUAGGUUGUGGUGGUUCUGACACCAGCAC
rnacentral:rRNA from 1 species